UGUCGUCUGCUUUCUCACAGUUUCGAAAAAGCCAAAAAAGAGACCACAUGUUUCAGAUAGUUUUGAUCAUAUUAACAGUUAGGUACCAGAGUUAAAACCUGUUUUGCUAAAUGUUGGUGCCCGACUACAUAGUGACUAGCAUUUUAUCAUGCUCGUCGUGCAGAUUUCAGGCCUGUGCCAGCCAUCGUAACCACAAGAUGUGCAAGUUUUGAUUUUUAUCACCACCAACAAUCUCAUCAGCAUCAUCAAUUGGACAAACAGCUCCUGGUUUAAUUGGAAAAAAAAACUCUGUCCUCGUGUUGUACACCCACGUGAAGGUGUGUGUUCACGAUAUGCCCCCCUUUCCCUAUAUCCUGCCUGGGCUCAACUUGACUGGGGAUGGAGCACUUUUGGAUGCCUGGCUGUGGAUUUCCCAGGCUUAAAGGUUGGACUCUAUUCUUCCUUGAUUUAUUUAUUUAGUCCUUUAUUUAGUGGCGUUGGUUAUCAAUCGUUAUACGCAAUACGAUUAUUCCCGAGUUAGGCAUUUGAUUGGAACUCAUUUUUAGUGCGACUAUGCACAUAUCAGGCUUGUUUUAUACCUCACAACUUAACUGGUAAACAAUCAAAUUCC
rnacentral:lncRNA from 1 species